ACUGCUCAGUAACACGUGGACAACCUGCCCUUAGGUUGGGUAUAAACCCGGGAAACUGGGUAUAAUACCCGAUAGGUCUCGAUUGCUGGAAUGCAUCGAGAUUUAAAGCUCCGGCGCCUAAGGAUGGGUCUGCGGCCUAUCAGGUAGUAGUGGGUGUAGCGUACCUACUAGCCUACGACGGGUACGGGUUGUGAGAGCAAGAGCCCGGAGAUGGAUUCUGAGACACGAAUCCAGGCCCUACGGGGUGCAGCAGGCGCGAAAACUUUACAAUGCUGGCAACAGCGAUAAGGGAACCUCGAGUGCCAGGUUACAAAUCUGGCUGUCGAGAUGCCUAAAAAGCAUUUCAUAGCAAGGGCCGGGCAAGACCGGUGCCAGCCGCCGCGGUAACACCGGCGGCUCGAGUGGUAACCGUUAUUAUUGGGUCUAAAGGGUCUGUAGCCGGCCGGAUAAGUCUCUUGAGAAAUCUGGCAGCUUAACUGUCAGGCUUUCAGGAGAUACUGUCUGGCUCGAGGCCGGGAGAGGUGAGAGGUACUUCAGGGGUAGGGGUGAAAUCUUGUAAUCCUUGAAGGACCACCAGUGGCGAAGGCGUCUCACCAGAACGGACCUGACGGCAAGGGACGAAAGCUAGGGGCACGAACCGGAUUAGAUACCCGGGUAGUCCCAGCUGUAAACGAUGCAGGCUAGGUGCUUGGACGGCCACGUGCCGUUCUAGUGCCGCAGGGAAGCUGUUAAGCCUGCCGCCUGGGGAGUACGAUCGCAAGAUUGAAACUUAAAGGAAUUGGCGGGGGAGCAC
rnacentral:rRNA from 1 species